rnacentral:lncRNA from 1 species
UUGAACUGAGAGGUAGCCCCUUUCGUGCAGAGAUGGCAGGGACUUGUGAACGAGGAAGGAAAAGACAUUGCUGGUCCUUAACACAAUCCUUGGAAGCUUAAGGCCAUCGGCAACAGGUUGAGUAAAGUGCCAUAAAGCAUCCGUAACUAAGCAAACAAUGGGAUCCUCCACGUUGCUAGAUAGCAACUUAGCCAAGCAAUCGCGAAAAGGGGUUACACAAUUAGAAUUGAGGAUUUUGACGAGGGCUAUAAGAUCGUCAAUUUCUGAUGAAACGACUUGGUUUUCCGACAAUCCAUCAGCUAUUGAACAGAACCUGAAAUGAGGGUAGUUUGAGGGGUUUGGAGAGUUGAACUGAGUGUGGAUUAUGGUAAUGGAAAAGCCUUUGGCAUGGAGUGUGUUGGCAAGCUGAAACAUAGGAUUUAGGUGGCCUUGAAAUGGCAGUGGGAAGAGCAUGACUCCCCUUCCUUUCAUGUUCUCCAUUUGAAUGACUUCAUGAUUCUCCAUCAACUUAUUAGAAACAGGAUCAAGAAGGAAGCUGGGGAGGAACAAAGAUGAGAAAAGAAAUGCAUCGUAGAAAAGUUUGACCCGGAAGCAUGGGCGGACCCACCUCGGAGAGAGGGGUGUCACAUCAUUUUUUAAAAUGUUUGAAUUUUUAGAUUAUUUAUUUAAAAUUUAAGACAAUUAGCGUACUAAUGAAUUCAUUAUUUUUUUUAUAAUUUUAUAGAGGGUGGGAUAAAAUUUCGAACAACAACAACAAAAUUUUAUUAAUAAUGAUACUCAAUAAUAUUUUUUUAAGUAAAAUAGUGUUGAAUUUGAUCUAAAUACUCUCUCAGCAGACUUGAAUUGAGGAAAAAAUUCUAAGUAUCAUCUUAAUGAUACUACUCAGAAAAAUAUUUGAACUUGCCCUUGCUCGUAAGCAAUACAGAAGUUGAAUAAAGUACUCUCUGUUGUGUUAUUUUUGUUAGCUAUGUGUCUCUAUCUACCUUCAUAGACAAUUAAAUUUUUGUAAGAUUGUAGGUAAGAAAGGAAAUCAAUAAUUCCCCCAAUGAUGGAAACGUGUUUUCAUAUCCCAAAGUUCCAAUUUUUUUUUUUUUUGGAAAAUUCAUAAUAUAUUCUAAUAGAUGAAAAAAUUUUCACCUCUGGAAAAGAUAAGAAGAUUUUGCCUUAUUAUUCUGUAAUUCGAGAAUAUCAUUUCAAAAUCCGCUCUAAAAAUAUCAUCUUACUUUCUAUAUAUAAAAAAUAGCUACCAGCUACAAAAAACAUCCCAAAUCCAGAAUUAGCAUGAGCAAAACGCAAGCAAUAGUUCUGGUAAGACCAGAGAUAGACCCAAAAACCUCCUGUACCUGCAAACACCUUAUUCUCUAAUUUUUGACUCUGGACACAAACUAUACAAAAGACAACACAAUAUAAAAAUCACAAUCAAACAAAAUAUGAGUCGAUCCAUAGACUUUAGCUUCCAUGCAGAUUAAUAGAUAGUCCACAGCCAAUAACCAUAUUGGGUCAACCAUCCGCACAUCAAAUAUUAACACAACAGCUCAUUCUCACCAUAACAUCAAUUUUUGACAAGAGCACAUUUACUCGAAGGCAUAACAAAGCUCCCAGAGUCCCCAACUUCCCGUGAAAACACACCCAACUAGUCAUAACCCUUGAUUAGUGAACACAACCAACUUACUAGCAACACAGAUAUCACAGAACCAUCAAUCUCUUCCAGGCAGCCAAAGCUAGUGCACCCAUAUCCCUCUGUCCCAGGCGACCAAAGCCAGUGCAUCCAUAUCCCUAGUUGCUUCAUCCCCCUGCCAGCAAAGGUCACAAGAUCACCAACCAAACUCUUGGUCCUGCUCUUGAACCCUUGAAAUCCUAAUCAGUUGGUAGUAACCUAGAAAACCCCACCCUACAACCUAUACAUAUUCAGUGAUCCGAAUAAUCGGUCUUGCAUUACAUUGUAGGUUCCUAAUGGGUGCUAUUUGGCUUUGUUGAUCUUCUGUGAUAUAGUAUUUCUUAUGUUCUGAUUUUCAUCAAACUUCUAUCAGGUGUCUGUUACUAUCCUCCGCUUUGGCUGAGAAAAAAAAAAUCUUGCUCUUACCCUUUGGUCAACAAAACAAGGCUGACAAAUCAUUGGGACAGCUUCACAAACACUCUCCAAUUACGGAUUCCAUUCAUUGCGAAUCUACCCUCCUACAACUUCACAAGCACUUGUCUCCUUCCACUUAUUUCUUCCAGGAACUCAGUUAGUAAAGGUUCAAGCCAUUCUAAGCUACUGACUGAACUUGGUCUAACAGCCCAUAGGAAGUGCUGCUGACUAUUAGCCAGCAUGCCAAAAUGCAGUCCAUGUUUUAGGUCUUCAAAUGAGUUCCAAAUCAGUCCUAAACAAGACUUGGGUUGCUUGACCAACCCAUUUAUGAGCCAUUGUUUGAUAAAGAGUCUCUUGAUCUUGUGUUUUGAAGACUGGAAUGUAUUAUUAUUAUUCAAUGGAUCUUUCCUGGAGGCUAAUCCGAAUAUAGUGGUGCUGUUGAAAGGUGCUUGAAACCUAGACAUAAGUGUCAAAGACUUUGUUAAAUUGCAGCUGUGUUAAAUCGUAUCAGGGGUCUCUUUCCAGUCUAUUCUGGUGUUGGCAAUGGCGGAUGUUUCAAGCGAAGAGGAAGGGACGUUGGCUACUGCGUUGGUGGUGAAUGGGCAACCUUCGAAAGGAUCCCAUAUGUCUUAAGAGAAUGGAUCGAAGAUGUUGCUUCUCCUGCUGCUGAAAAAGCUCCGAAUCAUGGCCAUUGUCGUGUUGGAAGUUUGAUUUCUUGAUGACGAGAGGGAGAGCAAAGAAAAGCUGUUUAAAUAGAAGAGAAGAUUGAUGACUCUGGUAGAUUCUGGGAUUUACGUGGCGAUUCCUAAAGCAAAAGCUAUGUCACAUUUGGCAGAAACCAUGACCAUCUUUCUGACACUUUCUCGAAUACGUUUCGUCAAGAGUCAGCCACGACAGAGCCCACCUGGAAAAACACCUGGUUUUCAUGCAAGGUCCGAGUGGUGGGGUUUGUCAUUAUUGUUCCCAAAAGGACUUCCUAUAUCCUGAAAAAUUCAGCAAAUAACUUCAUGAUAUUGAAGCUCUUCAGCUUGAAUCAAUGAUGAAUAGCAACCCAAAAUUCUCCUGAGCCCAAAAUUGAAUGGGCUGCAUUCUCUAAUCUGCUACAAGAUAUUGUUAUAUAAUUAAGCAAUUUCAACAGAGAUUUAAGUAAGGAAUCCGAAACUAUCAACCAAUCUUAGUUAAAAGCUGGGUUGUGUUCAAGCCCAAUUGUUUUUUCCAAACCCAGUCUUCAAAGAGAUUUAAUUUAGGACCCCAACCCACUUGGCUGCUGCCUGUAAUUAGUGCCAAACUAGAAUCUGUGAAGUAAGUAACCUGGCAGCUUUACAAGGUUCUAAGCAUCUUUUCAGAUGGAAUUAUCUUGCAUCAAUUCUCAUAACAAGCAAGAAGCCAUAACUUGUACUAAUUAUAAAGUACAACAAAGGGUCUAUUGUCAUAUGCUACCUAAAUUUCCCACUUUGAUUGUGGCUGAUUUCCUUUUCCUUAUGUAGAAAACCUUUCAUCCAAUCCAGACAAAACCUGACGAGUGCAAACAGUAAAGCUUCCAACAUUUAAUGAAUUCGUACAAUGCAAUAAUUUCAAGUCUCUGUCACUCCAUGAUAUGCAAGUUUCACCUAGCUAUGUCAUUGCUGAGCCAUGAAAUCUAAAAUUUUCCCUCCAAAACAAAAAGAUACUUCAACAUCUCCUAUCAGAAAAAUAAAACAAAAUCAAAUAAAAAAUAAAAACUAAACGCAUCUUUCAAAGGGUUAUGGCCACGGCUACGCAACAGUAUAACUCAAUAUUAAUUUCUGUGGUUAGGUUGUGCUAAUUUAGAAGCAAUAUGUUGUGAUGACAUUCUUGAGAGGAUCCAUCAGAUAGAGUUUAAAUUUUUUUAAAAAAGAUUCAAUUGGAAUCUUGAUACAACUGUAGAAUAUUAUCAUCACAUCUCUCACAAACUAAUAGUAAAUCACUCACAAACCAAUCAUAAAUUUCUCAUAAACUAGCAAUAAAUCACCCACAAAUCAGUAGUAAAUCAGUAAUAAAUAUGACAACAGAUCAACAGCAAGAAUAUCAACAUGUGUUACAAUAUUUUUAUAAAGAGACUUUGCAUGAAGCCUAGAAGAUUGAUACAUCAAUAUCCAGUACAUCAUUGACUUAGCCACUAGUCAAGGGCGAAACUAAUCAACUUUUUUGGAGAGUAAAGAUAAAAAUACAUAUAGGGAUUAAAAAUUUUAAAAUUAAUAUAUUGAAUUUAAUCAAUAAUCAAGAAACUCAUAAUAAACAAUAAUUUUAUAUAACAUGUAAAUUAAAAAGAACAAAAAAAGAAAGACUUAUAAUAAUCCUUCAAGAAAGUUGUGCUCGAUAAUAUUUUUUAAAUUCAAAUUCAUUCAUUAUUAAUUAUGUACUGAAAAUGUUAAUAAUGUCUUUCUCAAUAUAAAGAACUAAAUUAUGUGUAACAAAUUCGUUAUCCAUUUUGUUCAAAAGUCUUAUUUUCACAGUUUUCAUCAUUGAAAAGGCACUCUCUAUAGCUAUUGUAAAAACUAAAAGAGUCAAAAUAAGAUGAACUAAUCUAUUAAUCUAUUGAGAAAGUGUCUUAAUAUUUUCAAAACCUUGAUGAUUAAAUAGAUCAAGCUCGCAAUACCUCAAUUGUAACCUCAAAAGAAGUCUUUUUUACUCCGUGAAAUCCUUGGAACAAAAACUCUCUGCUAACUUGCAAAUAUCAUCAAUGUUGAAUGAUUUAUAAUUCUUAUUAGAAUCAAAAGCAAUGUUUAAAGUUAAAAGUUCCACACUUUACUCAUUGAAUCUCAAGUUCCACAAAAGAAAAAAAGAAAACUUUACAUUUCCUUAAUUUCACCUAAUAGUGAUGAAUGAUCUCUGUUCUUUCUUGUCCAAGCCAACAAGCUCAUAAAUCUUUCUUGAAGAAUGAAGUGUGUUUCAGUGGUAAGGUAUAAAAAAAAGAAUAAAGUAAAAAUGAAAAAACAAAAGAGAAAAGAAAGAAAAAAAGAAAGAGAGAAAGCAAUGUGGAGAAACUUAUUUUAAAAGGUCAUUUUGUUAUUCUUGACUUACAUGAAUUAUUAAAUUAAAAAAUUAUUUUGAAAGGGUUAUUAGUAAAUAUAUAUAUACAAUAUAUAAAAAAUUUUAAAAAUUUUGGAGGACCACAACCCCUCACAAUUAUAUUACCAUCUACCCUUAGAACUAAAAGCAUGUACUGUAAUAUUUUUGUAAAAAGACAUUGCACCAAUCCUAGAAGAUUGAUACACCAAUAUUCAGCACGUCAUUAACCUUAUAAUCUCUCUUUAAUGUUGGACAAAAAUUUCAUCAUAUAACAUAGUUUGUAAGGUAUUUAAAGAGACGAGAACCCAAUAAAUUCUCAAAAAGAAAAAUAGUAAAAAUUCUUACACUUGUUUUCCCUUUCUCCUUUACCUACUAUCUCUCCUAACUUGUCUCUCCCUCUUCUUUCAAAAAUUCUUCAAGGACAAGACGAGAUUAUAAGAUAAAAAAGAGUUACCUCUCAUUAUUUAAUCUAAUAUCACAAGCACAAAAAAAAUUAAGAUUGUAAUGCACAUGGGUUUGAUCUAUUGGUAUAUUGUAGAAUCAAUGAGUAUAAUACUAUAGUGUUUGUCUCAUCUUUAGCCUUAAUAGCAUGCAGCAAAGAAGACAGCAUCGGUACAAGUUUUUUGGUUAUUGGGAGCUGUCGUAUCCAAAUUUUCUAGAGACUGAUGUGACUACCCAAAAUUUAUCUUUCUAGCAAAAAACUUGACGACUCCUGAUCAUCUUAGCCUUAAAAUGAAUAUUAAAUUAUGUAAUAGUCAUGGCUGCAGGAUAACCAAUCCAAUUAAGCUGGAACACUAGCUUUUUUUUUUGUUAUAAACACAGCUAUCAAACUGUUAGAAAAUCAAAAGCAAACUGUAGACAGAACAUUGACUUGAGAGAUACCCAAAAGCUAGCCUAGCAAAGAUGGACCAAGAGCAACAGCCACAGGCUUAUCCUCAUGUACUCAUCUUCCCUCUCCCAGCACAAGGUCAUGUCAACUCCAUGCUUAAGCUAGCUGAAGUAUUUGCUCUAGCUGGCCUCGAGGUCACCUUCCUGAACACCGAGCACAACCAUGAACGACUAUUGCGUCACACCGAUGUUGGUUUCCGUUUUGCCUAGUAUCCAAGAUUCAAAUUCGAGACCAUACCGGAUGGUCUUCGUGAGGAUCAUCCGCGUCUAGGUGAUUGCUUCAUGGAGUUGUUUGAGAGCAUGGAAUUGAGAACCAAGCCAAUUUUGAGAGAGAUGCUGGUUAAGAUUAACCCACCCGUCGACUGCAUCGUAGGAGAUGGGGUUCUAGGCCUUGUGCUUGAUGUUGCUGACGAGCUCGGAAUCCCCAUCUUUCAGUUUCGUACCAUUAGUGCUUCUUGCAUCUGGGCUUAUUUUGCCAUCCCCGAUAUAAUUGAAGCUGGAGAACUUCCCAUCAGAGCUAUAAUUUUGAGGUUAUUGAUUGAUCCUUUUACUGUUUUUUAUUGUAUUACUUAUUCUUCUAGUAUUAGGCCUUUCACUGGACUAAAUAACAAGCGGGUGUUGGUAAAAAAUUAAAGGAAAUGAAGAUAUGGAUCGACUGAUAACAAGAGCUCCAGGCAUGGUAACUUUUCUUAGAUGUCGAGAUCUCCCAAGUUUCUGUCGAGCCAGCGACAUUACGGAUUCCAAACUCCAACUUAUCGCCGGAGAGACAAGAAAAAAUUUCAGUGCCCCCGGACUCAUAUUAAACACUUUUGAAGACCUCGAAGGAGCAAUACCAUUCCAUAUGAUGACCAAGUGCCCCAAAAUCUAUACCGUUGGGCCUCUCCAUUUGCACCUGAAUACAAGACUUGCAGAGACAAAUGGAACGAUGUUUCAUCAAUCUUCCAAUAGUCUUUGGGAAGUGGACAGGAGUUGCUUGUCAUGGCUUGAUGAGCAACCAAAGGAAUCUGUUGUUUAGGUAAGUUUUGGUAGCAUUGCAGUUUUGUCAAGACAGCAGAUUAUGGAGUUCUGGUUUGGGCUUGUUAACAGUAGAAAUAGGUUUUUGUGGGUUGUCAGGCCCGAUUUCAUGCCCGAAAAAGGCAGUAUACCGGUGGAGCUCGUGGAGGGGACUAAAGAAAGAGGGUACAUGGUGGGUUGGGCUCCACAAGAAGAGCUCUUGGCCCUUUGCGCCAUCGGUGGAUUCUUGACCCACAGUGGAUGGAACUCUACUUUGGAGAGCCUAGUGGCAGGGGUGCCUAUGAUUUGUUGGCCUUACUUUGCUGACCAGCAAUUGAAUAGCAGAUUUGUGAGUGAGGUGUGGAAACUAGGAUUAGAUAUGAAGGAUGUGUGUGACAGGAGCGUUGUUGAGAAGAUGGUGAAUGAUUUGAUCGUGGACAAGCGGGAGGAGUUUGUGAAACCAUCUGCUGAAAUUGCUAAGUUGGCCAAAGCAUGUGUAAAUGUUGGUGGAUCUUCUUAUUGUAAUUUGGAUCGUCUAAUUGAGGACAUAAGGUCGAUGAACAGGAAUUGCAGCAAGUGAUAGUUCAGCAGUAGGAUUUAUGUAAAAGUUUCAAGUGUAAUAACUGUUGUAUCCAAAAGAAUAAAAAUGUCAGAUUAAAGAAAUUAACUAGAGCAAGAUAUUUUGAUUAUUAUAUUCUGGACCAAUAAAGCAAAUUAAUGAUACCUGUGGAAGACAAUGGGUUGAUAGCAACUUUGAACCACAAAUCAAUGUGGAAAACUAUGGGAAAAACAAAGAAGGGUUAAUAUAUAUGGACUACCAAUUAAAGGCUAAAAUUAAUUGGCAAGUGAAAGGUUAACAGGGGUGUUGGCUACUAAACCGUUCCAGCUCUGGAAAGAAUUCUUCAAGCAAAAAUGGAACCAGGCCCGUCCCAAGCUUCUUCUCGUCAUAUACUCAUCUUCCCCCUCCCAAUUCAAGGCCCUGUAAACGCCAUGCUUAAGCUGGCUGAACUCUGUGCCACAGCGGGCCUAGGGCUAGUUUCCUCAACUCUGAGUACAACCACAACCGCCUGGUUCGUUUUGCCAAUAUUCCUUCACGUUUCGAUAAAAAUCCUGGAUUCGAGUUCAGGACUAUUUCUGAUGGUCUUCCAGGGGAUCAUCCAAGGUCAGGCAAUCGGUUAAUGGAAAUUUUUGAAGCUAUGAACAUGAGAACCAAGCCGCUUUUGAAAGAUAUGUUGGUCAAGAUGAUCCCACCGGUGGAUUGCAUUAUAGGAGAUGGGAUUUUGGAGUUUGUUCUUGAUGUUGCUAAUGAACUUGGAAUUCCCAUCAUUAACUGUCGUACUAUUGGUGCUUGUUUCUUGUGGUCAAAUUAUUCCAUCCCUGAUAUGAUUGAAGCUGGGGAGCUCCCAAUCAAAGGUAACUUGAAUCAGUUUUAAUCUUUAAUUUUCUGCUGAUGAGUUUUAUGCCGAAAGAAAAUUUGUUCUGCUGACAAUUGAGUUUUUCUCAAACAAUGAAGGAAGUGAAGCCACGGAUCGGCCAAUAACAGCCGUGCCAGGCAUGGAGAAAUUUCUUAGGUGCCGAGAUCUUCCGAGUUUCUGCCAAGCCAGUAACAUGUCAGAUUCAACUCUCCUACGGUACGGUGCAGUGACACGAAAGAGCCUUACUGCCAGUGGAGUUAUACUCAACACAUUUGAAGAACUUGAAGGACCAAUGUUGUCUCAAAUACGCAGCAAAUGCCCCAAUGUUUACACCAUUGGACCUCUUAAUGAGCACUUCAAGACAAGGAUGAGCCUGGAAAAUGGGGUGUCGUCUCAAUCUUCAAACUAUUUUUGGGAAGUGGACAGAAGUUGCAUGUCAUGGCUUGAUAGGCAGCCAAAUCAAUCAGUUGUUUAUGUAAGUUUUGGUAGCAUUGCUGUGAUGUCAGAUGAGCAAAUUAUGGAGUUUUGGCAUGGGCUUGUCAACAGUAAAAGGAGAUUUCUGUGGGUUGUAAGGCCAGAUUCCGUGGCUGGAAAAGGCUUCCAGGGAGAGGAUAAUCCCAAAGAGCUUGUGGAAGGGACUAAGGACAGAGGGUACAUUGUUGGUUGAGCCCCGCAAGAGGAGGUCUUAAGCCACCGUUCUGUCGGUGGGUUCUUGACUCACAGUGGGUGGAACUCAACCAUGGAGAGCAUAGUGGCAGGGGUGCCUAUGUUAUGCUGGCCUUACUUUGCUGAUCAGCAACUGAAUAGUAGAUUUGUGGGUGAAGUGUGGAAACUAGGGAUAGACAUGAAAGAUGUUUGUGAUAGAUAAGUUGUUGAGAAAAUGGUGAAUGAUCUGAUGGUGGAAAUGAAGGAUGAGUUCUUGAAAUCAGCUGCUGCAAUGGCUAGUUUGGCCAAAGAUUGUGUUAGUGUUGGUGGUCCUUCUUAUUGUAAUUUCGAUCGUCUGAUUGAGGACAUAAAAACCAUAAGCUUGAAGAAUCAUGAUUAGCUGAUCGUUGCUGUCAGAGUUUUGUGGUUGAUGUACUAAAAUAAGUUGCAAUCACAUGGUGUUAUUCUAUAAGUUGGAAUCUCUCGAUCUUUCAACCAUUAAAAUACAUUUAAUAUUUGUUUGAUCUGAAGCAACUAAAGAUUCUGCAAUUCAAACUUUUAAUUACCGAAGAUUUGGCUCUCAUCGUUAUAGGACUAGAAGCUGACAAGUUUAUUAAUUACAACAAUAACUGAUAUACUCUAAGAUUAUAAUAAAAGCAGGUACAUCAACUUUCACUAUAAAAAUAUAUAGCUGCCACACUUUAAUCAGAAGCCCUGAAAAUUUCCUGUAAGAUGGAAAAAGGUAAGCAAUCAAAAGCCUGUCCUCAUGUUCUCAUCUUCCCUCUCCCACUGCAAGGCCAUGUAAACUCUAUGUUCAAGCUAGCUGAACUGCUAGCUCUCACUGGCUUCAAAGUCACCUUCCUAAACUCCGAGCACAACCAUGGACGCCUGGUCAAGCACACCAAUAUUAGUGCCCAUUGUGAUAGAUACCCUGGAUUUGAAUUCAGGACAGUACCUGAUGGUCUCCCUGAUGAUCAUCCGAGGUCAGGGAAUUGGUUCCUGGAGAUGUAUUAUGCCAUGGAAACGAAAGCCAAGCUGAGUUUGAGAGAGAUGCUGCUCAACAUCAACCCACCAGUGGACUGCAUUAUAGGAGAUGGAUUUUUAGGAUUUGUUCUUGAUGUUGCUAAGGAGCUUGGAAUGCCCGUCUUUUAUUUUCGUACCAGCAGUGCUUGUUGCUUUUGGGCUUAUUAUUCUAUCCCUGAUAUAAUUCAAGCUGGGGAGAUUCCUAUAAGAGGUAAAUUAUAUGAUCCAAUGAAAAUAUAUUUCUGAACUCUGUGUAGUAUUGUGUUGUGCCUGCCUGUGUUUUUUCUUCUCUGACAAAAUACAACCAAGUUCGUAAUUCUUUUUCUUUUUCAAUUCUACAUAAUAAAAAAUGUAAAUCCAAAUUGAUUCUUGAAACCUGGAAAGUAGUGAAGCAAUUAAGAGAAUAGCAUUCAAAUGAUUGAUUUCCUAAAGUUUUGAAUGGUUCUUUUAUACCCUCUGACACUGGUAAAUGGGUGUUUGUCAAAAAAUUGGAAGGAAUUGAAGAUAUGGAUCGCCUGAUAACAACUGUACCAGGCAUGGAACGUUUCUUCGAUGUCGAGAUCUUCCCAGUUUCUGCCGAGCAAGCGACAUGGCCAAUUCAACAAUCCAACUUGUUGUUAAGCAGACACGAAAGAGUCCCGAAGCCCAUGCCUUGAUACUGAACACGUUUGAAGAUCUUGAUAGGCCUAUCUUGUCUCACAUACGCACCAAAUGCCCUCAUUUCUACACCAUCGGACCCAUCCAUGCUCUGCUAAACACCAGGCUCAAGGCCGAAUGUGGUGCAUCAUCUCAAUUUUCCAAUAGCCUUUGGGAAGUGGAUAGAAAUUGCAUUUCAUGGCUUGAUAAGCAACCAAAGCAAUCCGUUGUCUAUGUAAGUUUUGGUAGCAUUACCAUCACAUCCAGAGAGCAACUUACAGAGCUUUGGUAUGGACUUGUUAACAGUAAAAGGAAGUUCUUGUGGGUUGUAAGGCCAAAUUUCGUGACAGGAAAAGACGGACAGGGGGAGGAUGUUCCGGUGGAGCUUAUGGAAGGGACUAAGGAGCGAGGGUGUAUCGUGGGUUGGGCACCGCAAGAUGAAGUGUUGAACCAUUCGGCUGUCGGCGGGUUCUUGACUCAUAGUGGUUGGAAGUCUACUUUGGAAAGUGUGGUGGCAGGUGUGCCUAUGAUAUGUUGGCCUUAUUUUGCUGGCCAACAGGUGAACAGCAGGUUUGUGAGUGAAGUUUGGAAACUAGGAUUGGAUAUGAAGGAUGUGUGUGAUAGGAAGGUAGUGGAAAAGAUGGUGAAUGAUUUAAUGAUGGAUAGAAGGGAGGAGUUCGUGAAAUAAGCAGCUGAAAUGGCUAAGCUAGCCAAAGAAUCUGUCAAUGACGGUGGGUCUUCUUAUUGCAAUUUGGACCGUCUAAUUGAGGACAUUAGACUAAUGAGCUUGAAAAAACCAUGAAACCUCAAGCAAUUUUCCUAGAGAUGUUUCGACUAAAUGUUGACAGAUGAGUAUCUAUUUUUCCAAUAAAACUUUGGCAUUGCUACCUAUAAUUUUCAUGGUAUGCAAGAGCGGCUUAAUAAGUUCAAAGGCCUAAAGCGAAAUAUUCAAUGAGGUCUUCUUUUAUUGAAAUUAAAAAAAUUAUUAAAUUUUUAUUCUUCUAGCUUUUUGAGAUGUAAAAUUUUUAUAUUUUUUAAAUUGUUAAUAUAAAAUCAACAAUCAAAAUUUUUAAUUCAAAUAAAUCAACUAUCACAUAAAAUAAAGAUAAUAUAAUAAUAUAAUAUAAAUUAAAAAUUAAAGUAAAAAAAUCUGUAAAUAUUAGAAUAAUAGUACUUAAUUGUUUAGUGCUUAUUGCAAACCAUAAAUGAAGUUCACGUUUUUAUGAAGAUAAUAACAUAACGAACUUUUUGUAUAUCUUUUGAAAAAUAAUUAAAGUUAAAGGAAAAAGGAAGAAAGAGCAAAUGAGAAAAGAAGAAUUUAAACGUAGAUAUUAUACAUUGAAAAAAAAAUAAUUAAUUUUAUAUAUAGGAGAAAAAAUAGUUGUUUGAAAUCAUUAAAUAUGUUGAUUGAAAAUAUGAGAAAUAAGUGAGAAAAAAAUAAUUAUUUGAGAUAAUUAUAUAUAUAUAUAUAUAUAUAUAUAACCGUUAGUUGAUUGAAAAUAAUAUAGUAUUCUAGAAAUUAAAAAUGAUAAAAAAUUAAGAUUUAUUAGACACAUAAUUAAAAAAUAAAAAAUAAAUAAUUUUAUUAAUUAUUUUUUAUUUAUAUAUAUAUAUUUAAUAUAAUAAAUUAUAUUAUAAAAUUAUAAGACCUUCUCAAAAUUAAGGGUCUAAAUCUCUUGCUUGGGUGGCUUUAUCCAAGGGCCGACCCUGUACAAUGGAAUGUCAAUGGUUCAUCAGUAAGAACCAAAAAGGUUCCUUAUUAACAUUUUAAUAAUCCUCUCGGCAACAAUGUUUCCGUUCAGGAUUAUUAAUUCUUCCCAGGAUAUCUGUUGCAUGUAUAUCUGGCAAUGAAGCAAACCCAGCAUUCACGGAAGUGAUCCAAACAACCAUGGGAUCAAGUAGUUGUCUAGAAGUUUCUUGAAAGAGAAACAACACCAAAGCAAGGGCAAACAGAGAAGUCUAUUUCAUUUACAGCUAGGACACACACACACGUGUAUAUAUAUAUAUAUAUUUAUACAGUAGUGCUUUAGGUAGACUUAAUUUAGUUAAAAGUAAACCAUUCACACAUAAACUAGGAGACUUUAGUGUUUUAGCCGAUCAGAUUUGACAGAAAAGUAGCUGUGCCAUUUAUCAAAGCUGGUCACGGAGUUUUUGAUUCAACACUCUUCUGGAACAGCACCGAAAAAUUCUUCAAGUUGAUCUCAAAGAUCAACGGGUUCAAAUUGGAAACCCCACAGCCAGGAGUCUGACCAUCUAUUGCAAUGUACCUUUCUCCAUUUUUAAGUGCAGAAUUGACCUCCCUGAGCUUCAAUUUUAGCAUGCCUUCAGUCUUGCUUAAGGCCACUGCUCUGUAGCAUUAAUUUGCAUUCUUUUAUCUAGAAUUGACUUCUUUAAUUUUUUGAAAAUUAAGUUAGAUCCAUUUCAAAGAAGGAUGGAAAUCAGUCAAGUUACUGUCAAAACUCAACUGAAAGGAGGCAGUCAAGUUACUGUCCUUUGAGUGGCGUAGAAAAACGGCCACCAGCAGAAUCUGUGAAAGGAAUCAGGAUUCACGAAGUCUAACCUGCUACCUCGACUUAAUGAGCUUGACAAUAUUUUGGGAUUUGUUGGAUAAAGACCAGGAUUGAUUGAUUAGAAGUCAAAGUUUUUGUGCGUGAAAUUGAUAUUCUUUAGAUUUUAAAUUUUAGAUUAUAUGUCAUUAAAAGGAAUGAUGACGUCCGAAGAAAUUAACAGAGAUGUUGCUUAGCACAAAAGUUAUAUACAAGGAACAUAAAGAAAAAACAGUUUGUCCAUAAUAUAGACAUCGAAUCUAGUUACACUAAGUAAAGCCAACUUUAACACUUGAUUUCCACCCUCUCUGUUUUGAAGACGGUCUAUCUCUCUCCCACCAGAGCCCCCAAAAUGUUUGUUUUCUGGAACCAAUUUCUACGUUUUCUAGGAACCCAAUUCGAAAACUUCGCCUCUACGUCUAAAAGGAAGAACUUCUCAUCUUCACUGCUUUGGAUCGUUCGUAUCAUGCAGGCCAAUCAGUUCUUUCUCGCACUGUUAUGGGUGCUGUUACACCGUGCAGAUGAUCAGACAGCUACUUCUCCCAUCAACGUUAUUUAUAGACCGGCAAAUCGGUAUUCUCGUGCUUGUGGUGUUUCACCCUUUGGCAGAAAAGAGAUUGGCAGAACAGAUAUUGGGAUCCAGAUUGGCAGAAAAGAUAUUGGGAUCCUUUUCGUUAUAAUUAUAUUAGGCCAUUGGCUGGCGAUACUUCUACUUUUUAUAGGAAUCAAUUUGGGCAAAAACCUCUCUACAUUUAAAAGGAAGAAUUUUUUAUAUAUACCGCUUUCAAUUGUUCUCGUUCCUAUCUUUCUCUCACCGUUACUGGUGCUGUUUGAACUUACAAAUGAUCAGACAACUACUUUCUCCGGCUCCUUUUUGUCCGCCUUCCAAGAUUGUAAGUCUCCUUUUGCUUCACUCCUCUGCAGAAGACCACUUAAGAUCCUUACGUCGGUAUUGAGUAUAUUAGUUGUUGACAUAGACGACACGGACCAUAUAUUUCAACUGCUACUUACAUUUUGCCCACCAAGAGCUAAUUUUUCCCAUCUUCCUGAUGAUGUCAUUUCAAAAAUCAGUAAUCGGUUAACAUCUUUUGAAGAUGUGGUCGCAUCAUCAGGGGUUUGUCGUUCAUGGCGUUUUGCUUGUUCAGACAUGCGCUGCGCACCACGCCAUCGGUUUCCACGGCUCAUGCUUUGUGAUAGAGAGAACAGGUCGACCAAAAGUUUUUAUAGCGUUCGCCGGAAAAAGCUUUAUGAACUAGAGCUACCCCAGGCUCAUGGAAAGCGAUGUCAUGGUUCUCCUUAUGGCUGGAUUGUGACUAUGGGUCCUGAUCUACAAGCUCACCUUUUACACCCGCUGUCGCAAGCUCAACUCAGCCUUCCAAAAUUAAACACCAUUCGGAAUCCAAUUGGUGUGCUUGUGCCUGUUGAUCCCUUUCGUUUCAUUCGCAAAUGCAUUCUACUCAAGACCUCCGCCUCCCACUCCCAGGAUGAGUUUCUUGUUAUGGUGAUAUUUGGGCCCAAGCAUAGCUUGGCUUUUGCUAAACCUGGAUCUGUUGGAUGGACGAUCGUUGUGGGUGCGGAUGGUUUCAAAGAUAUUCUUCUUUUCAAGGGCCAAAUCCAUGCCAUUUGUGGUCAAGGAAGGCUUCUGCGCUUUAGAUCUGAUGAUCCUGAAUCAACGCAAAGGUUUAUUGCGUAUCCUCCUGAAGAUGUCUUCAGAGAUGAAAGAAUAUAUCUUCUGGAGUCAUUAGGAGAACUUUUGGGGGUUUUCCGAUUUUCAUCCAGCACUCCUUUUGAGAAGAGGUAUGACACAAAAAGGUUCUUCGUCUACAUGCUUGACUCCGACAACGAUGGCAAUCUAGGGACUUGGCUGAGAUUAAACCACUUGGGGGAUCGGGCAUUAUUCGUUGGAGAGGGCAAUUCUUGGUCCGUUUGUACUGCCAAUAUCCUCAAUUGCAGAAGCAACUGUAUAUACUUCACAGAUGACAAUUGGGAUCAAAAGGUGAGAGGAGAAGAACAGACGUUAGUAGGCCCUGACAUUGGUGUAUUUGACAUGGUGAGCAAGAAAAUCGAACGUCUGGAAUUGGGUCCACACUGUCCUUGUUAUCAUUCCAGGUCCGUAUGGUUUACUCCUAGUCUCCUACCUUACAAGAACUACCAAGCUUGAGGGGUACUGCUAGGUAUGAAUGGGAAAACUUGGAAAUUGUGGCCUGCAAAACAGAAUAUGAGACAUUAGUUUGCCCGAUUGCUGAUGCGGAAACAUGGGAUAUGUUGAGUCAUUUGUGGUCUGAUGAAUCUGAUGCAAUAUUUUUCCUUUGGGAUUCUUUUUUUUUUUUUUUGGAUUUCUGAUGCAGAAACAUGGGAUAUGUUGUGUCAUUUGUGGUCUGAUGAAUCUGAUGCAAUAUGUUUUCUUUGGGAUUUUUUUUUUAAUUGAAAGUUAGAGGUUUUCUUUGGGAUUCUGACUAUGGUAACCGAUGAUCAAACCCAGCCAUUAAGAUUUACCAGCUGUUUAUCAUUUCAACAUGUCCAGAAUUUCUAGUAUUACAUUAACGACACUGUAUGAAUCAUUUGACAAUCUGUAUGACCCAUGUCUCCAUGUUAUACCUAGAGCUAGGUACAACAUGUUUAGUUAAUUUGGUUAAGAGAUUUUUUUUAAACCAAAUUAACCAAACAUGUUAUAAAAGGUAAUCAAAUGGACCAAAAUUUUGUUUUAAUCCAUUAAUCGAAAUUUUUCCCCUUGCAUUUAUUUAUUACUUUUUCAUUAUUCACUUAUUUUUUAAAAAAUAAAUAAAAAUAAUAUAUUUAUAUCAAAAUAACGCGUAUGAAGGAAUUUCACAUCUUAAAAUUAAUAGUUAUAAUAUUUUGAGAUUUUUUGGAUAAAGAUAAAUACCAAUUAAUUAAUAGUCAAAGUUUUUAUGCAUAAAAUUAAUGUAUAUUGACUUUUUAAUGGAGGUAGGUAAGAGAACUAGAUGCAUAGCAUUUGCAAGAAAAGUGUCAUUUUCGAGGAUAUGAAUAAAAAUUUAAUUUGCUUUUCAAAGUCAAAAAAUGAAUCUGCAUGGAAAAAUAUAUUGGUGAAACCAAGACCAUCUGCAUGCAUAUCUUUCUAAUAUUAUUUUGAAGAAAGGUCGAGAACAGCUCUUACAUGGGUACUUUUCUUGUUGUCUUUCAGCUUGACCACUGCAUACAGCCAUGCUUGCCUACACUUUGUGAGAAAUUUCCAUGAAAGAACACAAAAAGAAGAAAAAGCAUCCAUGGGCUUCAGCUUUUGGCUUUUCUUCACCAAAGAUUUAUGAGCCUUAGCUUCAAUAGUCAUUAUUUCUCUCUACUUUCUCAUUCUGCUACUGACUUGUUGCCUUCCGUCUUGCUUAAGGCCACAGCUGUGUAGCAUUAAUUUGCAUUCUUUUAUCUAGAAUUGACUUCUUAGGCCAACUAUAGAGCUUGGAGAAGAAAUUAAGAAGAAAGAACCAAAGGCAAUCAAAUUAAAUGCCUUGGCCUGAUGUUCCUUGAGGAAGCCAGUGCAAAGACAAAUUUACUCACUACAAGGAUAACAUGUAAGUAACCAGGUUGUCCAGAGAUUUGUGUGAGGAACCUCCAGGCUUAAGACAAAGAUUCAUCUUUUCCUUCAGUAACUCGACUCUGUCUCUCAUUUCCUGUCCCUCUCCAUCCACCAUCAGUCUUUUGAUUGCCUCCUUUAUCUCCCCUCUCUCUAUCUUGAACUCUAGAUGCACCCCAACUUUCCAAACAUGGCUUAUAUAUCUUGCAUUGGCCUUCUGGUCAGCAAAAGAAGGUUGGCAAAUCAUGGGAACCCCUUCACAUAAACUCUCCAGGGUUGAAUUCCAACCACAACGUGUCCAAAAUCCCCCUGUUGAAGGGUGGGCUAGCACUUCUUGUUGGGGAGCCCAUUUCACCAUGUUGCCUCUUCCACCUAGCAUUUCUAGGAACCCAUUUGGCAAUAGGUCAAGCCACUCUGAGCCAUGGACUAACCCCGGUCGAACCACCCACAAGAAGGGCUGCUUGCUGUUGGCCAGCCCCCAAGCUACCUCCAAGAAAUCAGCCUCGUUCACAGCUACUAUACUUCCAAAGCUAACAUAGAUCACAGAGUUGGGUGCUUGUUUGUCUAGCCAUGACAUGCAGCUCUGGUCUUGAGGUAGUAAGCUACUGUAGGAAGAGGCUGGAAAGUAUUUGUGGAAAGGACCUAUUGCAAAAGUUGGGAUAGGAAAGUCCAGGGAACAUUUUUUUAGAGCUCAUGUUCAAGGUCUUCAUUGGAGUUAAAUAUAAGUCCUGAAGAGGCCUUAACUUCUUGAAUUAUAAUAGACGAGAAUUGAAGUACGCUUUCCAGAUGGCUUGUUUCAACCCUAUGAAUGUCUUUGAAUUUGAGUGGUGAAAACUCUGGGACGUGGUUUUCUGCUUGAGAGUCUGAGAAGCAAAGAUUCAGCAUUUCAGUAAUUUCUAUUGCAUUAAACAAAACAUGAACUUAAAGCUUGUUUUAUAGUACUAGAAGGAGUAAACUACUUUGGUAAACAAAUAAAUACAAUCAUAAGAAACUGGGUGUUGUGACUUCUCAACUUGUCAUCAAGUUUCUUUAGUAAAAUCUGAAUCCUAUCAGUGCAACGUUGUAGAAAUUAUCUCAGAAAAGUUAUCUUGAUAAUGAUUUAUUAGGGUCUAAUCUUGAUGAAAAGUGCAAUGAGACAACAAGAUAGAAAGGAGUUACAUGAUAAAUUCUCCUUCAGAAGGUACAAAUUUGCAUGUCUAGACUUUUGGUUAUUGCCGAUCCUGGCAUGACUCACUUGAAAGUUAAGAGUAAAGAAAGACUGAACUCGUAAAUAAUACCUGAAAACUAAUUAAUCUUAUCAGAUCAAUGAGAUAAGUGAUCUGUACCUUGCACUGAGAGGUAGCCCCUUUCGUGCAGAGAUGGCAUGGACUUGUGAACGAGGAAGGAAAAGACAUUGCUGGUCCUUAACACAAUCCUUGGAAGCUUAAAGCCAUCGGCAACAGGUUGAGUAAAGUACCAUAAAGCAUCCGUAACUAAGCAAACAAUGGGAUCCUCCACGUUGCUAGAUAGCAACUUAGACAAGCAAUCGCGAAAAGGGGUUACACAAUUCGAAUUGAGGAUUUUGAUGAGGGCUAUAAGAUCGU